rnacentral:rRNA from 1 species
AACGAACGCUGGCGGCAGGCCUCAUACAUGCAAGUCGAGCGGUAAGGUCCCGCAAGGGACCCUAGAGCGGCGAACGGGUGAGUAACAGGUGGAUAAUCUGCCUUUGGGUGUGGGAUAACGGCUGGAAACGGCCGCUAAUACCGCAUACGGUUGUUUGGGCUUCGGCCUGGACAAAGAAAGGCGCCGCAAGGCGCCGCCCGAAGAUGAGUCCGCCCCCCAUUAGCUAGUUGGCGAGAUAAUAGCUCACCAAGGCGACGAUGGGUAGCCGAGCUGAGAGGUUGAUCGGCCACACUGGAACUGAGACACGGUCCAGACACCUACGGGUGGCAGCAGUAGGGAAUAUUGCGCAAUGAGCGAAAGCUUGACGCAGCCAUGCCGCGUGAGUGAUGAAGGCCUUCGGUCGUAAGCUCUUUCUGUAGGGAAGAAUGGCCGGUGCAGGAAGUAGGCGCCGGAUUGACGGUACCUCAGGAAUAAGGAACGGCUAACUCCGUGCC